GGGAAGUACGUAAAGCAGUUUCUGCUGUGAGUGCCUCCAAGAAGGAGCAGGCCACACGGGUAAAGAAACACGUGGUUCGGAGACAGAAAGGGACUAUGGCUGCUGCCCCUAAAUCGCACGUGCAUGUCAAGAAAUUGACUGUGGAAGAAGGAGUUCGCACUGGAAAAAACAGUGUGCACCAACUCCAGGCCCAGGUUGACACAGCAACUCAGCAGGAGAGCUCCCAAGGGCCUGUGCUUCUGAGCCAGCUCCCAGAAACAACAUCUGUGCCAUAUACUCCAGAGACAAUGGGGCAACAACUGACGGUGUCCCUUUCUGGGGAGCCCUAUGGGCCCUCUGCCAUGCCAAGCAUGUGCCCAAGCCUGAUUCUUCAGCCCUGUGCCACCACCGACCCGAUGCUACUGCAGCCACAGGGCUCCAGUGCCUCCAACCAGGCUUCAGUUUCUGCCACCUUAGAGUGGCAGGAGAUGCUGGAGGCUGCUGAGGCUCUGCUGGCUCUGAAAAAUUCUUCUCAGACACGUCACCAGCCCUGUGGCAUGCCCGGUACUGCUGGAGAGAGGGGACUGCAGCUGCCCAACCCCUCUAUGCCACCAAGGCCUGCAAGCUCUGGUUCGCUGCCUUCUGGACAUCUGGAUUGCAUGUCCCUCUUGACCUAAGAACCCAGACUAUGAGGCCUCGCUAAAGCACUGCCUGAUUGAUUCCUGUUUCUGAACUUGCAAAAUGGCUCCUGUCCAAAGUGCUUAAUGUGUUUUUUAAGCAUUCAGGUAUUUUAUAAGCUUUCAGAUCCUUUUUAUGAUGUAGGGCAAUUACUUGGCUUUCCUAUGUUCUUUACCCCACCCCUUAUUUCUUUGGAAGCUGGGGCUUUUUAUGUGUCUUAUAAAAUGCUUUGUGCAAUCUAAUAUGAUCAAUCAAUCAGUGGGUUCUGAGUGGUAUCAAAUGCCAGUGUUUUCCUUUGUGUGCACUCACUUGCACACAUAAUUGUGCACUACUGUACUUAAACAUGCAUGUGGAAACAUGAGGAUUUUCACAUUGCAUCUAGAUUUGUGUGUUACCAAAAAUAAAUAAUUUUGUAAGGCAUUAA
rnacentral:lncRNA from 1 species